AUACUCAAUCUAAUUUUAUUUUUAUGCAAGGGUUAUGCCAUUACAUUAUGCCAAAGUAAUGGCCGAAAGUUAUGCUGCUGUGAUGGGAGUGAUGUGAGGAAACUGCCAGCGACUGCUGGUGCUGGGGUAGCACUCAGCACUGCCAGAUUUUCUUCAUUUGUGCGAGACAUUGUGAAUGAUGUGCUGAGGCCUUUCUAUUACUCCACCGCCGGCGCCCGUGGUCCACCUGUAAGAAGAUAGCGUUAAAAGCUGCUGGAGUUUCUACCUCUUGACAACAUCCCAGCUGUAGACUAGCAAUAGCAAUCCUCCCGUGGCAGUUUUAAUUAUCGGCCCCGGCGAUACCAUCAGUAAGUGUGUAAUUACGUGUCACUUUCCUGGCUGUUGGGUAUGAAAAGUGGAACCAGUGAGAUGAUGAUCGUUGAAGCUGUAGACUCAUAUUUAAACAAUUCAAAAUGUGUAACUGGCAGUGUCAUUAAACAGAGAGAGUCUGACCCCA
rnacentral:lncRNA from 1 species